rnacentral:sRNA from 12 species
UGACCAUUCCUUAUGUUUAAGGAAUUAGUGCCAUGCGGACAGCCGGGUCAAAUGCCGA